GGGCUAACACAUGCAGUCGCACGAGAAAGGGACUUCGGUCCUGAGUACAGUGGCGCACGGGUGAGUAACACGUGAAUCAUCUACCUUCGAGUGGGGAAUAACUGGGAGAAAUCCUGGCUAAUACCGCAUAAUACCUACGGGUCAAAGCAGCAAUGCGCUUGAAGAGGAGUUCGCGGCAGAUUAGUUAGUUGGCGGGGUAAUGGCCCACCAAGACGAUGAUCUGUAUCCGGCCUGAGAGGGCGCACGGACACACUGGAACUGAAACACGGUCCAGACUCCUACGGGAGGCAGCAGUGGGGAAUUUUGCGCAAUGGGGGAAACCCUGACGCAGCAACGCCGCGUGGAGGAUGAAAUCCCUUGGGAUGUAAACUCCUUUCGAUAGGGAAGAUAAUGACGGUACCUAUAGAAGAAGCCCCGGCUAACUUCGUGCCAGCAGCCGCGGUAAUACGAGGGGGGCAAGCGUUGUUCGGAAUUAUUGGGCGUAAAGGGUGCGUAGGCGGUUUGACAAGUCUUAUGUGAAAUCUAUGGGCUCAACCCAUAGUCUGCAUGGGAAACUGUCGGGCUUGAGUAUGGGAGAGGUGAGUGGAAUUUCCGGGUGUAGCGGUGAAAUGCGUAGAUAUCGGGAAGGAACACCUGUGGCGAA
rnacentral:rRNA from 1 species